GGGGACGUUGUCGCUGCUCCACAGGGACGUUGUUGCUCCACAGGGACGUUGUUGCUCCACAGGGACGUUGUUGCUCCACAUGGACGUUGUUGCUCCACAGGGGACGUUGUUGCUCCACAGGGACGUUGUCGCUGCUCCACAGGGACGUUGUUGCUCCACAGGGACGUUGUUGCUCCACAGGGACGUUGUCGCUGCUACACAGGGACGUUGUUGCUCCACAGGGGACGUUGUCGCUGCUCCACAGGGACGUUGUUGCUGCUCCACAGGGACGUUGUCGCUGCUCCACAUGGACGUUAUUGCUCCACAGGGGACGUUGUUGCUCCACAGGGGCGUUGUCGCUGCUCCACAGGGACGUUGUUGCUCCACAGGGGACGUUGUUGCUCCACAUGGACGUUGUUGCUCCACAGGGACGUUGUCGCUCCUCCACAUGGACGUUGUUGCUCCACAGGGACGUUGUUGCUCCACAGGGGACGUUGUCGCUGCUCCACAGGGACGUUGUUGCUCCACAGGGACGUUGUCGCUGCUCCACAGGGACGUUGUUGCUCCACAGGGGACGUUGUUGCUCCACAUGGACGUUGUUGCUCCACAGGGACGUUGUUGCUCCACAGGGACGUUGUCGCUGCUCCACAGGGACGUUGUUGCUCCACAGGGGCGUUGUUGCUCCACAUGGACGUUGUUGCUCCACAGGGACGUUGUUGCUCCACAUGGACGUUGUUGCUCCACAUGGACGUUGUCGCUGCUCCACAGGGGACGUUGUUGCUCCACAGGGACGUUGUCGCUGCUCCACAGGGACGUUGUUGCUCCACAGGGACGUUGUUGCUGCUCCACAGGGACGUUGUUGCUGCUCCACAGGGACGUUGUUGCUCCACAGGGACGUUGUCGCUGCUCCACAGGGACGUUGUUGCUGCAUAGGAAACUAAGUUCCAUAGGAAUAAGAACAACAAAGGACAGAGACGAACAUUUUGCUAUAAGGUGUAUUUAAGAGACAUUCUUCAAAUAAAUAUAAAUAUUCAUGUUUGUUAAAUAUGAAUAAUUGGGGAAACUCAGUGUGAAAGUGUGAUGAGAUGAGGACAGAGUUUUAAUAUUUUGUGUACAAUGUAUUUUAGAUCUAUUGAUCAGAUUAAAUUCCAAAAUCAAACAAAUGAACCUAAAACUGCUCUCCCUCUGUUGGUGUGUGUUAAACACAGUCUGGUGGUUAGAACUUAUCAAUGACAGUCCACAUUGAUUAUGUUUUUACUAGUUGUUAUAUUGUAGAAUUAGUUCAGAUGUAAUGCAGUUUCAAUCUUUCCUCCCCUCCAUCUUCUAGACCAGGGGUUCUCAACCUUUUGCAAGCUGGGCCCCCCCAAAGCUGGUUCAUUGCAGUUGGGCCCCCCCUUCCCGGCGCCACCCCCACUACACCACCUUGCAUAGAUAGAUAGAUAGAUAGAUAGAUAGAUAGAUAGAUAGCCUUAGGCUAGGGUAUUAUUUUUAGGGCCACAUUAUUAUUAUUAUUAUUAUUAUUAUUAUUAUUAUCAGUAGCAGUAGGUAUAGGCCUAUUAUUUUUACUAGGCUAUUGUUAUAAUUGGCAGUAGCACCAGACUUCUAAUGUGAGCUUGCAGGCAUUAUUAUUAUUAUUAUUAUUAUUAUUAUUAUUAUUAUGAGUAGCAGUAGGCCUAUUAUCAUGACUAGGCUAUUGCUAUAAUUGGGAAUUGGCACCAGACCUCUGAUAUGAAUUUAUUUUUUAUUAGUGUGUGUUUAGUAGUGUUAUUACUAGGCCUUAUAGUAGGCCUAUCAUCUGCAUUUUUGACAGAAGCUUGCAGGUAGGUGAUGUUAAUGUGAGACCUGAGCCUGCUUUGCCUUGCAAAGAUCCUCAAUUCUUGGAGCAAUGUCUGAUAAACAUAGCCUCAAAUCAUCCUCGAUUUGUGCACGAUUGUGGUACUUUGUUUUGAGUGCAGUCAUUUUUGAGAAUCCUGCCUCACACAAAUAUGUCGACACGAAAGGGAGGAGAAUCUUCAAGGUGACGUCACAGAGUUGAGGGUAUUCCUGCAUCAGUGCUGCCCAGAAUGACGAAAGAGGGCAGGAGGUAAAGAGUUCCUUCAGCCUACUGUCACUCUUCAGCUCAAUGAGCUGUUCCUGCAUAUCGAUUGACAGCUCGUUUGCUGUGCACACAAAUGGAUCUCGAACCCACGCAAAGAGCAAUAAUCCUCUUUAAAGUAGGUCACAAAUUGUUUUCUCAUUUCUGACAGGUGCUCAGACGCUGAUUGAAAUAGAGAGGAGAAAUUGUGUGACGUGCCUGCAUCCGUGAUAAAGUCUGCAAGGCUGGGGAACAUGUCGCAGUUCCCUCGACUGAUGCGGCCAUGCCAGAGGUCAAGUUUUUGUGUGAAGGUGUCCACUCUGUCUGCGAGGAGCAAAAUAUGAGUUUUGCGGCCUUGCAAAGACAGGUUGACCACAUAUAAUAUGUAUGUAUGUAUAUAUAUAUAUAUAUAUAUAUAUAUAUAUAUAUAUAUAUAUAUAUAUACACAUACAUACAUAUUAUAUAUAUAUAUACACAUACAUACAUAUUAUAUAUAUAUAUACAUACAUACAUAUUAUAUAUAUAUAUACAUACAUACAUAUUAUAUAUAUAUAUAUAUAUAUACAUACAUACAUAUUAUAUAUAUAUAUACAUACAUACAUAUUAUAUAUAUAUAUACAUACACAUACAUACAUAUUAUAUAUAUAUAUAUAUAUAUAUAUAUAUAUAUAUAUACACAUACAUACAUAUUAUAUAUAUAUAUAUAUAUAUAUAUAAUAUGUAUGUAUGUGUAUAUAUAUAUAUAUAUAUAUAUAUAUAUAUAUAUAUACAUACAUACAUACAUACAUACAUACAUACAUAUUAUAUAUAUAUAUAUAUAUAUAUAUAUACAUAUAUAUACAUACAUACAUACAUACAUACUAUAUAUAUAUAUAUAUAUAUAUACACACAUACAUACAUACAUACAUAUUAUAUAUAUAUAUACAUACAUACAUAUUAUAUAUAUAU
rnacentral:lncRNA from 1 species